rnacentral:lncRNA from 1 species
AGGAAGUCUCUCCCUACAAAGACCUAUACUGAUGUUCAGAGCAGCUUUAUUUGUUUUGGGUUUUUUUUUGGUACCUGGGAUCGAACUUGGCUCCUUGAGCUUGCAAAGCAGGUGACGAAACCACUGAGCUAAAUCCCUGGCCCCCAGAGCAGCUUUAUUUGUGAUAGCCCCAAAUUAGCAACAAUGCAAAUGUCAUUCAGCAAAUCAACACAUGAAAAAAGACAUUGAGGAAUAUCCAUACAAUGGAACAAAGGAUAUACACAAUAACACAAAAUAACAUGGAAGCAACUAUGCUGCGUGAAAGAAACUAGAUUAAAAAAGUACUAACUAUGAUUCUAUUUCUGUAAAACUCUAGAAAAUGCAGACUAAUCUACAGAAUCUGAAGGAAGAUCAGUGUUUGCUUGAGGGUAGUGAAGGGCUGGAGAGAGGAUUUCCGGGACACAUGUGGAGACCUUGCCUGUGAUGGAUAUGUUCCCUCUCCCAAAUACAGUGAUGGCUUCAUGGGUCACUUGCCUCCUUGGACCUCAGUUUCUGCACCUGUAUUUCCUCGGGCCUCUCUGCUUGGAACUGGAGCUGGAAUUCCUCUCCAUGGACCUGAAGUGUUCAAUCCUCUAUGGAACCUCAGCUCUCUGCAGCAGAUAUUGUCUCAUGAAGAUAUGAUGGUUGGAUCCUUGACAGUUAUUUUGUGACUAUGAGGAAGAGG